ACCAGGGAAUGUGCUCACCAACCAGUCUCACGUGAUUCGUUGCGCGUUCGUAAAUUGGCGGGGCACGUAUGGUGGAGGACUUCGAGAGAACGUCACAACAGUCAAAGUGGUUAUCAUGACAGUCAGACUCAGAGCCAAUGAAGUGGAUGCUGUCAAGAAUGCUUAUGGGAACCACACAAAGCUGAUCUUCAACUGAAGGAAUGCCCAACUUUCAAAGUCCUUGCCAUUCGGUUUGUCAUGGUUAAACUCUGUUCAUUGAACUAAUAUGCUCCAGAACAAAGCUCCAGUAAAGUCUAUAGGGCCAACUUCUUGGGGCAUGGAAAUAAUCUUAUGAGUUAUGUAGUAAAACUGAAAUCUGAAAUGAGUGAUUUGAUUCCAAAUACAUUCCAAAUACAUUAACAAAUGUUUAAAUCUUCGUGAUGUUUAGACCCCGAGCACGUAGAUGCUUGGAACUAAUUAAGUUCAAUUUUAAAAUAACUUGAAAAAAAGUUGCACAGUAAACCUAACCUUAACAUUAGGUUAGUGCUCAUAAAAGUAAAUUUAAACUUCAAAUAUGUAUAACUAUGUUUAAUUCACUUUAAUAAAUAAAUCAAUAUUUGUUUAGAUUUAAGAAUGUUCAGUGCCUAAAACUAUUAAAGUCUUCCACUUGAUUUUAAGUUAAUUUAGAAAGCAUCAGCAGAACCAUAAAUGUAACCGUGAAACCUAAGGGCAAAGCUCAUAAAAGUCAAAUUUAGCUUUAGAUGUGAGGCAGCUCACUUGGGAUGGCAAUCCAGUUUUGACUACAAUGUGGUAGCAUUCAAGUGUGCCAAAGUCAUUUUUGUUUCAACUAUUCUGUGUAAAACUGUGGACCCUUGCAGCAUUUGUUAGGUCAUUCAAUCAUCUGCAUGCAUCCAUUGACAGACAGUCAUAUUAACCACUGGCACUGACAACAUAAACCACCUAAUUAACCACUAACCAGACCUGUCCAAAUGUUGUAAGGACUGGGCAAAUAUUCCACGCUUCUUGGGAACUUGAGUUCACUUGCGCAUUUUCUUCUUAGUUUUUCAAAGCUGGAUUGCCAGUAAAAGCAGUUCUUAGCAUAAAUUUUUUACACAAUUUAUUGAAAAGCAAACAAUUCAAGUCAACUUUUACAUUUGGCUGAAAUAAUGAGCACAAACAAGAAAGGAAAUGGAAAUGCUUUAAACAAAUUUUUUUCAGAGCAUAAUCUAAAAAAAAAGACAAUCUUCAGAAAACAAUCUUAAUGUUAAAAAUGGACUAAAAAAUCAAAUGAAAUUAAUUAAUAUUCUGUAUGAACAUGAUAUAAAUGAUAAAUAGCCAAACAAUAAAGGAUGUUCAAUCUUACAAUGCAAUUUAAAAACUUCAUUCAUAAAAAGAAAUAUAUGAAAGUAUAGGGCAUAAACCUGAAACACUUUUAUUUUAAAAUUAUAGUUACAAACAAGAUAACUCACAUUUCAUGUUUGCCAUAACCACAUGAUUUAAAAAUUUAGGUAAACCGUGAAGGACAUUUACUCAAGUUGGGCCUUUGACAUACUUGGGACAAUGUACAUACGGAGCAGUAAAAUGUGAGAGUCAUUUUGGAGAAACUCUGAAAAUCACCUCCAAUUAUAA